UACGAAGGGGGCUAGCGUUGUUCGGAAUUACUGGGCGUAAAGCGCACGUAGGCGGCUAUUUAAGUCAGGGGUGAAAUCCCGGGGCUCAACCCCGGAACUGCCUUUGAUACUGGGUAUCUAGAGUCCAGAAGAGGUGAGUGGAAUUCCGAGUGUAGAGGUGAAAUUCGUAGAUAUUCGGAGGAACACCAGUGGCGAAGGCGGCUCACUGGUCUGGUACUGACGCUGAGGUGCGAAAGCGUGGGGAGCAAACAGG
rnacentral:rRNA from 1 species